CACGGGGGGAGCAAGCGUUGUUCGGAAUCACUGGGCGUAAAGGGCGUGUAGGCGGUCAGGCAAGUGAGACGUGAAAUGCCCCGGCUUACCCGGGGACCUGCGUCUCAUACUGCUUGGCUUGAGUACGGGAGAGGGUGUGGGAAUUCCUGGUGUAGCGGUGAAAUGCGUAGAUAUCAAGAGGAACACCUGCGGCGAAGGCGGGUUGCUGGGCCGACACUGACGCUGAGGCGCGAAAGCCAGGGGAGCGGACGGG
rnacentral:rRNA from 1 species